GGGGGGGGCAAGCGUUGUUCGGAAUUACUGGGCGUAAAGGGCUCGUAGGCGGCCAACUAAGUCAGACGUGAAAUCCCUCGGCUUAACCGGGGAACUGCGUCUGAUACUGGAUGGCUAGAGGUUGGGAGAGGGAUGCGGAAUUCCAGGUGUAGCGGUGAAAUGCGUAGAUAUCUGGAGGAACACCGGUGGCGAAGGCGGCAUCCUGGACCAAUUCUGACGCUGAGGAGCGAAAGCCAGGGGAGCAAACGGGAUUAGAUACCCCGGUAGUCCUGGCCCUAAACGAUGAAUGCUUGGUGUGGCGGGUAUCGAUCCCUGCCGUGCCGAAGCUAACGCAUUAAGCAUUCCGCCUGGGGAGUACGGUCGCAAGGCUG
rnacentral:rRNA from 1 species